AUCCAGCUCGGGGUCGCACUUUACUCCUCUCCCUGGUCAAACCGGAUUAAAGAAAAGAAGAGGAAAAAAAAUAACAAUGGAGCAAAGUUAGCAAGACAGCGCACUAAAAAGCUCCCACGAAAGAGGUCUGAAGUCGCUUUAGUUUUUUUGUCUUCGCUGAAUGGUAACAAGUUGUUUUGUUUCCUCCAGCUUCCACGGCUGGUGCCGCGUUAGCUAGCCGGCAGUGAGUGCGGGGCACACGGCUCGGAGCUCGGAGCAGAGCCGCCUUCCUUCUAGGGAGGGUCGAUGAGGUGCAGCCAGAGGACGCAGUCAACCAAUCACGGCUGCCUGUUUUACUCUUAACCCCCACCUUCCCCUCUUCCCUUCCUUCGCCGAGGCUCAAAUUACACCUGAAUGUGCAGACUUGUUCGAGGCCGACCGAGUUUUCGCGACCCACAACGUGGAAGUUCAGUCCACCGCCAGGGCGGACAGGACAAGUCUGGUUAGUGGCUAACAUCACAGCAGUAACCUCAGCGUGAAACAGAAGGGAAACAGUGUCCCGUCUCCACAGAGAGGACAUUAACACAGAGGACGCCAUCGCUUGUUUCAGGACUGCAACAUACAAGAUGUGAACACCACUUUAUGAAGGGACUGAGGCGGAGAAUGUGACAGAGACACUGAGUGACAGCGACUGACUCAUCCAGCUGGGCGCCACCUACACCUCAAUCAGCAGGUAGUCAAG